rnacentral:lncRNA from 10 species
CUGAUAGGUUUAUCAGGGGUUUCUCUUUUUACUUUUUCCUCAUUUUUUAAGAAGUGCCUUUUGCCUCCUGCCAUGAUUCUGAAGCCUCCCCAGCCAUAUGGAACUGUAAGUCCAAUUAAACCUCUUUUUGUUCCCAGUUUCAGGUAUGUCUUUAUCAGCAGUAUGAAAAUGGACUGAUACACAUGCCAUACCUAUAUUUCUGACUUACAAAAGCAUGAGCUAAUAAACAUGUGCUGUUUUAAACUGCUACGUUCAUGCUUCCUCUCAGUAUCUGAUGACAAUGAGAAAUGCAUUUGAAGAGAUAAACACUUCCCGAAAGACCAUCAUGAUAGGAGCUGAUACUCACAGAUGCCUUAGUGAAUGAUUACGUCUCAGGAUGCCAUAAGGAAUACACAGAAGGGUACAAUCUCAAGCCUGGCUCAGACUACUCCACCUGCCUUCCUGGCUUCCCCCUCCAGCUUGCAGAUUGUAGAUCAUGGGACUUCUCAACCUCCAUAAUCACAAGAGCCAGUAUUCUGUGCCAGGGCAAGAUGGCCAAAUAAGAACAGCUCAAGUCUGCAGCUCCCAGUGAGACCUACGCAGAAUACAGGACACGCGUGAAAUUUGGUGACGUGACUUGGAUCGGGGGACCUCCCUUGGGAGAUCAAUCUCAUGUCCUCCUGUUCUUUGCUCCAUGAGAAAUAUCCACCUACGACCUCAGGUCUUCAGACUGACCAGCCCAAGAACCAUCUCACCAAUUUCAAAUCCG